UACGUAGGAUGCGAGCGUUAUCCGGAUUUAUUGGGUUUAAAGGGUGCGUAGGCGGGCUUUUAAGUCAGCGGUAAAAAUUCGGGGCUCAACCCCGUCCGGCCGUUGAAACUGGGGGCCUUGAGUGGGCGAGAAGAGGGCGGAAUGCGUGGUGUAGCGGUGAAAUGCAUAGAUAUCACGCAGAAUCCCGAUUGCGAAGGCAGCCUUCCGGCGCCCUACUGACGCUGAGGCACGAAAGUGCGGGGAUCGAACAGG
rnacentral:rRNA from 1 species